UUCCUUUUAAGGAGCUGAUUUCGGUCUGCAGUUUGCCUGAUUCCACGUGAACGCAGCAUUAAAGGGUGCCUCACCUCUGGCAGCCCACGCAGAGCACCACGAUGAGGAUCGUGACAACAAAGGCUGAGGCAGCAGCGAUAGCAC